rnacentral:rRNA from 1 species
AGUGAACGCUGGCGGUAGGCCUAACACAUGCAAGUCGAACGGCAGCACAGUAAGAGCUUGCUCUUACGGGUGGCGAGUGGCGGACAGGUGAGGAAUACAUCGGAAUCUACUUUUUCGUGGGGGAUAACGUAGGGAAACUUACGCUAAUACCGCAUACGACCUACGGGUGAAAGCAGGGGAUCUUCGGACCUUGCGCGAUUGAAUGAGCCGAUGUCGGAUUAGCUAGUUGGCGGGGUAAAGGCCCACCAAGGCGACGAUCCGUAGCUGGUCUGAGAGGAUGAUCAGCCACACUGGAACUGAGACACGGUCCAGACUCCUACGGGAGGCAGCAGUGGGGAAUAUUGGACAAUGGGCGCAAGCCUGAUCCAGCCAUACUGCGUGGGUGAAGAAGGCCUUCGGGUUGUAAAGCCCUUUUGUUGGGAAAGAAAAGCAGCAGGUUAAUACCCCGCUGUUCUGACGGUACCCAAAGAAUAAGCACCGGCUAACUUCGUG